GUGAGGUAAUGGCUUACCAAGGCGGCGACGGGUAGCCGGCCUGAGAGGGUGACCGGCCACACUGGGACUGAGACACGGCCCAGACUCCUACGGGAGGCAGCAGUGGGGAAUAUUGCGCAAUGGGCGGAAGCCUGACGCAGCGACGCCGCGUGGGGGAUGAAGGCCUUCGGGUUGUAAACCUCUUUCAGCAGGGAAGAAGCGAAAGUGACGGUACCUGCAGAAGAAGCACCGGCUAACUACGUGCCAGCAGCCGCGGUAAUACGUAGGGUGCAAGCGUUGUCCGGAAUUAUUGGGCGUAAAGAGCUCGUAGGCGGUCUGUCGCGUCUGCUGUGAAAACUCGAGGCUUAACCUCGGGCUUGCAGUGGGUACGGGCAGACUAGAGUGCAGUAGGGGAGACUGGAAUUCCUGGUGUAGCGGUGAAAUGCGCAGAUAUCAGGAGGAACACCGGUGGCGAAGGCGGGUCUCUGGGCUGUAACUGACGCUGAGGAGCGAAAGCAUGGGGAGCGAACAGGAUUAGAUACCCUGGUAGUCCAUGCCGUAAACGUUGGGCGCUAGGUGUGGGGUCCUAUCCACGGGUUCCGUGCCGUAGCUAACGCGUUAAGCG
rnacentral:rRNA from 1 species